AAAACAGGCGAGUGCUAUGAUGCAGUCGACGAACUCUGGUAUUGAUUGGUGCUUGCAUCAUGAUUUACAUUUGAGUGAGUGGCGAACUGGUGAGUAACACGUGGGAAACCUGCCCAGAAGCGGGGGAUAACACCUGGAAACAGAUGCUAAUACCGCAUAACAACUUGGACCGCAUGGUCCGAGCUUGAAAGAUGGCUUCGGCUAUCACUUUUGGAUGGUCCCGCGGCGUAUUAGCUAGAUGGUGAGGUAACGGCUCACCAUGGCAAUGAUACGUAGCCGACCUGAGAGGGUAAUCGGCCACAUUGGGACUGAGACACGGCCCAAACUCCUACGGGAGGCAGCAGUAGGGAAUCUUCCACAAUGGACGAAAGUCUGAUGGAGCAACGCCGCGUGAGUGAAGAAGGGUUUCGGCUCGUAAAACUCUGUUGUUAAAGAAGAACAUAUCUGAGAGUAACUGUUCAGGUAUUGACGGUAUUUAACCAGAAAGCCACGGCUAACUACGUGCCAGCAGCCGCGGUAAUACGUAGGUGGCAAGCGUUGUCCGGAUUUAUUGGGCGUAAAGCGAGCGCAGGCGGUUUUUUAAGUCUGAUGUGAAAGCCUUCGGCUCAACCGAAGAAGUGCAUCGGAAACUGGGAAACUUGAGUGCAGAAGAGGACAGUGGAACUCCAUGUGUAGCGGUGAAAUGCGUAGAUAUAUGGAAGAACACCAGUGGCGAAGGCGGCUGUCUGGUCUGUAACUGACGCUGAGGCUCGAAAGUAUGGGUAGCAAACAGGAUUAGAUACCCUGGUAAUCCAUACCGCAAACGAUGAAUGCUAAGUGUUGGAGGGUUUCCUCCCUUCAGUGCUGCAGCUAACGCAUUAAGCAUUCCGCCUGGGGAGUACGGCACGCAGGCUGAAACUCAAGGAAUUGACGGCGGCCCGCACAAGCGGCUGGAGCAUGUGAUUUAAUUCGAGCUACGCGUAGAAUCUUACCAUGUCUUGACGUACUAUGCAAUCUAUUAGAUAGACGUUCCCUACGCGGACAUGGAUACAGUGAUGCAUGGUCUGUCGCAGCUCGUAGUCGUGAGAGUAUGUUUAAGUCCCGCAACGAGCUCAACCUUAUUAUCAGCUGCCACUAUUCAAUUGGGCCAUCCUGUCUGACAUGCCGGGUACACCUGACGAGGAUGUGGAUACGCUAAUCCCAAUGACCGUUUUGACCUGCUUACCAACGGUCUAACUAUGAAUGUCAACGAGUUAAAACUCCUCGAGCUAUAUGUAGUGUCUCU
rnacentral:rRNA from 1 species